rnacentral:rRNA from 1 species
GACGAACGCUGGCGGCGUGCUUAACACAUGCAAGUCGAACGGAAAGGCCCUGCUUUUGUGGGGUGCUCGAGUGGCGAACGGGUGCGUAACACGUGAGUAACCUGCCCUUGACUUUGGGAUAACUUCAGGAAACUGGGGCUAAUAUCGGAUAGGAGCUCCUGCUGCAUGGUGGGGGUUGGAAAGUUUCGGCGGUUGGGGAUGGACUCGCGGCUUAUCAGUUUGUUGGUGGGGUAGUUGCUUACCAAGGCUUUGACGGGUAGCCGGCCUGAGAGGGUGACCGGCGACAUUGGGACUGAGAGACGGCCCAGACUCGUACGGGAGGCAACAGUGGGAAAUAUUGCACAAUGGGCGGAAGCCUGAUGAAGCAACGCCGCGUGCGGGAUGACGGCCUUCGGGUUGUAAACCGCUUUCGCCUGUGACGAAGCGUGAGUGACGGUAAUGGGUAAAGAAGCACCGGCUAACUACGUG